ACUCCUACGGGAGGCAGCAGUGAGGAAUAUUGGUCAAUGGACGCAAGUCUGAACCAGCCACGUCGCGUGAAGGAAGACGGCCCUACGGGUUGUAAACUUCUUUUGUAAGGGAAUAAAGUGCAGUACGUGUACUGUUUUGCAUGUACCU
rnacentral:rRNA from 1 species